AAUGCUUAACUAUACACUUUCUUUUUCUUCACAGCAACACCAAGUGAGCUGACAAAUCUCCUAAAAUUCUGGACUGGAUGGGAGAUUGUGCCAAAAAGUCUCACAGUGGAGCUAGUAGAUGGCAGACUCUGGAAUGGCAGAUUGAUCAUCAGUAUGCCAGUCCAGGAGCAAAGUGGCAGAGAGACUUGGAACCUCUUCAGUCCAGUCUGCUCGAAUAUGUUUUGGACCAAAACCUACCUCCAGGAGAACUCCUAGGGAAGGAUGACAAUAUCUACCUGACUCGGGAAGACUUCUGGAGCCUGGGUUUGGAACACUCCAUGGAAUCUACUGUAAGUAUAUCUUGUUACUUUAGCUAAUGUACCGCAAAGAAAAUAUCAUGUAAUGCAAGAUUGUUGUGUUUCAGAAGUCACGUGAACCUCUGAUCUUGUCCAAAAUCACGGACUUUGACAACAUCAUUCGUUGUUCUCUCCAUGUGGCAUGCAGUCUGACGCCAGAAGACCCAAACAUGCAACAAGCGACAAGCGGACCUUCAGAAGUGGAAGAUCAUGUUGACAUCUGUUUGUGACAGAACCUUUGGAUUCACUUUGUACGACGCUUUGGUCGUGUUUGUGUUAAAAACACCAAAUAAAAAAGAAAAAACAAUCUAAAUUGUCCUGGAUUUGUCUUGUAUUUAAAUCUACAGCAGUGAACCAUGUAAAGGUGCUUUUUGAUAUCUGGACUGGACUCUGAUUGGAUGAGAGAAGCUGAGCUGGGAGUUGUCUCCAGCUUUUAUAUCUGCUUCCUUCUCGGCUGCACUAUGACAUUCCAUACCGGAUGGUGCACCAUCCAGUAACUUCAAAGAAGAAGCCUCCAACACUCCUACUGGAACAGGAUCCCGUGGAAGUUCCCGUCGAGCUAAAGGAUGAAGAACCUGACACUGUGAUUACAAGAGCUGUGUUCAUGCCAGCCAAUGUCAGUAGGCAGUGGUCAGAAGAGGAGCUGUCGUUUGUGAAGACGGACCCUUCAGUCAGGGUCAAAGAUAUAUACCGUCAGUAUGUGCAAGGCUGCAGGCAUGGGCGCCCGGUCAUGAUGCUGGGAGAUUUUGUGACAGUGCAUGGUUUACCUGCGUGUGCUGAGUGCUCCCUAAAGGUCCCAGGAGGAGGAGGAGAUGAGGAGGCAGCGGUCGGCUGGCUUUGGGCUGGGUUUUUGUGUGUGUGUGUUUCCUUUAGGGAAAAGAUGUUCACAUUGCUGAUCUCUACAUCGUGGCCACCGGGAAGGAUCCACAAGUCAACCUGCUUCGUUGGUUGCCGGAAAACUUUAGGUCCAAGGACAUCCUGCUUUUUCCAGCUUGAAGCAGGCAGGCAGGUGAAGCUGACCAUUAUCUGCUCUGUGUGAGUGCCCUUUGUCUUUCUUGCUCUGUUUUUUCAUCUCAUAGAAAAUAAUGGA